UACGAAGGGGGCUAGUGUUGCUCGGAAUCACUGGGCGUAAAGGGUGCGUAGGCGGGUCUUUAAGUCAGGGGUGAAAUCCUGGAGCUCAACUCCAGAACUGCCUUUGAUACUGAGGAUCUUGAGUUCGGGAGAGGUGAGUGGAACUGCGAGUGUAGAGGUGAAAUUCGUAGAUAUUCGCAAGAACACCAGUGGCGAAGGCGGCUCACUGGCCCGAUACUGACGCUGAGGCGCGAAAGCGUGGGGAGCAAACAGG
rnacentral:rRNA from 1 species